UAACCUGCCCAAGAGAUCGGGAUAACACCUGGAAACAGAUGCUAAUACCGGAUAACAACAGAUGAUGCCUAUCAACUGUUUAAAAGAUGGUUCUGCUAUCACUCUUGGAUGGACCUGCGGUGCAUUAGCUGGUUGGUAGGGUAACGGCCUACCAAGGCGAUGAUGCAUAGCCGAGUUGAGAGACUGAUCGGCCACAUUGGGACUGAGACACGGCCCAAACUCCUACGGGAGGCAGCAGCU
rnacentral:rRNA from 1 species